rnacentral:rRNA from 1 species
UUGGAGGGCAAGUCUGGUGCCAGCAGCCGCGGUAAUUCCAGCUCCAAUAGCGUAUAUUAAAGUUGUUGCAGUUAAAAAGCUCGUAGUUGAACUUCGGGGUUUACCCAUUGGUCAGGCUUAAUUGUCUGUACUGGUGAGAUAAAUCUCUACCUUCUGAGGAACUUUCAUGUCAUUAAUUUGGUGUGAUUGGAAAUCAGGACUGUUACUUUGAAAAAAUUAGAGUGUUUAAAGCAGGCUAACGUCUGAAUACAUUAGCAUGGAAUAAUGAAAUAGGACGGACUGAUUCUAUUUCGUUGGUUUCUAGGAUCACCGUAAUGAUUAAUAGGGAUAGUUGGGGGCAUUAGUAUUCAAUCGUCAGAGGUGAAAUUCUUGGAUUUAUUGAAGACUAACUACUGCGAAAGCAUUUGCCAAGGAUGUUUUCAUUAAUCAAGAACGAAAGUUAGGGGAUCGAAGACGAUCAGAUACCGUCGUAGUCUUAACCAUAAACUAUGCCGACUAGGGAUCGGACGAAGUUAAUUUUAUAAUGACGCGUUCGGCACCUUACGGGAAACCAAAGUGUUUGGGUUC